UUAAUAUCUUACUGUAUGUUAAAGAACACCUUACUACAGGAUUGUAUUGGCAUUAAGAUGAUGCAAUUAGGAAGUAUCUAGCAAAAGAAAAGUCUUUUAUGACCUUGACAUGUUAAUGUUUUUAUAGCCUUUGGUGACUUAGUUUUGGAUUUCAUUAUAUGACAAAAUUUUAUUUUACUGCACAUCUUAGUGGAGUAGCACAUUUUUAUUUUUAAUUUUUUUUCCAGUUCAUAUUUUAGCAUUAUCGUAUACUUUUUCAUUUUCUCUGUGACCCAAUCUCCCAGAAAAGUGCAGGUGAUUUUGCAAGAAACAAUGCAAUUUCAGCAUAGCAGAAGGGUAUGAAAUACAGACUAUAUUUAUGAACUCAUUGCCUUUGCAGUAAAGUUUCCUGGAUGAUUUAGUUUUCAAUUCUCAUAAAAUUUAAAGGAUUAUGACUAAGUUUCUGAACCAUGAUGACUGGCGCCUCAUUGCAAUUUACAAAGAAACCACUUCAAUGAGAAAAAGUUGUGCAGCUCAUGAUGUUUUAAAUCAAGUCUCAAUCAAGGUGGUUUAUUGA
rnacentral:lncRNA from 1 species